AACCAGACAGGGAAGCUAUAGAAGAAAAUAUAACACAAGAGGAAAUAUUAAAGGUUAUUAGAGAAUUAAAAAAUAAUAAAUCCCCCGGAACAGAUGGGUUUACAGCGGAAUAUUAUAAAGAAAUGGCGGAAAUUUUAGUUCCAGAACUUCAAAAUUUAUUUAAUACAAUAAUAAGUGGCCAGAGAGCCCCAGAUACAUGGAGAGAGACGGAGAUAGUGACAAUCCUGAAACCAGGAAAAAAUGCAACUUCAGUAGAAUCUUAUAGACCAAUAAGCUUAUUAAAUCAAGAUUAUAAGAUAUUUGCAAAAAUAUUAUCAAAUAGGAUUAGAAAUAUACUUCCUAAAAUAAUAGAACAAGACCAAUAUGGGUU